rnacentral:rRNA from 1 species
AUUGAACGCUGGCGGCAGGCCUAACACAUGCAAGUCUAAUGGUAACAGGAAACAGCUUGCUGUUUCGCUGACGAGUGGCGGACGGGUGAGUAAUGUCUGGGAAACUGCCUGAUGGAGGGGGAUAACUACUGGAAACGGUAGCUAAUACCGCAUAACGUCGCAAGACCAAAGAGGGGGACCUUCGGGCCUCUUGCCAUCAGAUGUGCCCAGAUGGGAUUAGCUAGUAGGUGGGGUAACGGCUCACCUAGGCGACGAUCCCUAGCUGGUCUGAGAGGAUGACCAGCCACACUGGAACUGAGACACGGUCCAGACUCCUACGGGAGGCAGCAGUGGGGAAUAUUGCACAAUGGGCGCAAGCCUGAUGCAGCCAUGCCGCGUGUAUGAAGAAGGCCUUCGGGUUGUAAAGUACUUUCAGCGGGGAGGAAGGGAGUAAAGUUAAUACCUUUGCUCAUUGACGUUACCCGCAGAAGAAGCACCGGCUAACUCCGUG